GAAAAAACAUUAAAAGGAAGAGAGAGAAAGAGGAGUGUCCCCUCUCUCCUGGCGCCGCCACUACCUCCAUCUGUCCGGCGAAUCGGACAGCCACCAGAAACCUCACCCAGCAGACGUCGGCGAGCCACUGUGUCUCUCUGUCACUUCUCUCCGGUGGAAGAUCCAAGCAUGGAACUUCAUUCGAAGACAAAACUUAAAAUGAGAAAUCCAGAACGAUUAACCGGUGACUUCUUUCCUAAUACUCUGAUUACUUUUGUGAAUUUUUAUUAUUUUCAUUUUUAAAGCUUUAUUAGAGGUUGUAAUACAUGUCUAUCAUAUUGUUUGAGCCACUUUUGAAUAGGCUGGGUAUAAUCUAUUAAUACUUUAUGAUUAACAAGUUGCUAAAACUGAUUUUAAUUUUUAGUUUUGUUUACUGUUGACGCAGCGGAGGUGUUUCAAAUCGAGAUAUACUCAUACUUUAAUCUUCGUAUAUUUUUAUACUAGUUCCUUAAAAUAUUGUUUUGUAAUGAGAAUCAAUAAUCAUUUUACUCUGUUAUGUGAUUUGCUUGUCAACUUUCAUCAUAUCUACAAUUUCUCAAUUUUUUUCAAAUUAACUAAUAUGGUAAACUCGAUCAAUGGGAUUUCCUCUUCCUUCAAAUUUGAUUCGCAACAGUCAUAUGUCUAAAUGGGGCAACUAGAGAUGUCUGAUUGAUAUUGCUUAUUCGAAUUAUUGUAAUUUUCAUCUUCCUUAGUCAAUCAAGACAUGGUUAGUAGCAUAGAUUACUUGAUAUGACGAAAGGAUUAUGGAAAUUUGCAUAUAUCUUUAUGUUUCUCUUUUUAUGCUCUCACGAAUAUGCUGCUGAUCGAGAAGAAUAUUUUCUUUCCAUAUCUUUACAUUGGCUGAUCAGCCCUCUUUACUAUAUAAUAAGGACUUCGAUCUCAUUCUUUUCUCAUGCUUGUGAUCACUAAAAACAGCUCUUGAACUCUCUUUCUCUCUAAAGGAAAAAGACAGCCCAUGGAGCUCUCUCUUCACGAAUAACUAGCAGUCCUACUCUUUCAUCAAAAUAUUAUUUAAGAUUUCAUCUUUUUCUUUUCAAUGACUGAUCACUGGUGAAAGACUCUGGAAUUCUCUUCUCCAUUACAAUAUAACUAGAACCUCUUAAUCGGAGGACACUUCUCUUCUUGAAUACUGAUAAACUGAAUCGUCUUUUCUAUGUUCUCUUGUUCUUUGUUGGUAGUUGUAUACCAAUUUUGGCUAUUGAUGCUCGGAUUGCUGUGGUAUCAUUGGUUAUUGUUGUUGUUUCUGUAUUGUUACUUCCUUACAGGUUAGUUUCUAUCGAAGUACUCUUCAUGCUUAAUGUGGUAGUUGUAUUUUUCAUUCUCUUGUCGCAUCAAAUAUUUGUUUUGGAAAACUCGAAUGUUUUAAGCAUUUCGGGAGAAGCAAACAAGCAUGUCCUUUUAUUUUUAAUGCGCUUUGAUAAGUUUUCGGAAACUUUGUGCAUUAGAAAUCAUGUUUAUACGAUUUACUCAUAAUUUAACUUCAAAGCUUGUUGCUCUUUUUCUUGUUUGUUUGAAAUCAUGAUUAUCAUAAUAUACAACUUAAUUGCAGCAAAAUACCUUUGUGGUUCACUUCCCAGUCUACUAACCAAAUAAUUGUAUAAUGUGGUAGCUAAGAGUAUUUCUUAAUGUUCCAGAAAAUAUGUUAUGCUCUAUUUUCCAAGAUUGGUGUGAAAUUUGUACUUCACUUUUUGUGGUGCUUAACAAGGCCGUUAUGGAAGUGGGCUUAUUAGUGCUUCCGUCUCUAUGCUAUUGUGUGUGCGUGUGCAUUUCUUUUGUGUGAACAGGGCAUUAGUUCGAUAUCGGGGGCAUUGAAGAGUUGUCUAGGACUUGGGAGUUUUCAAGGAUCGUCUAGUCAAAGCCUACUCGUCUCGAAUUCAUUGUCUUUUCCAUUUCACUAGUAGCAAUUAAGUCAUCUAUUCACAUUUUUCCGUGCCAGCUAUGAUUCAUUUCCGAUGAUGUUCUCUCUGCGAUGCCUGGUUAGCAAUUAAUUCCUCUACUCACAUUUUCACGUAGCUGCUAUGAUUCGUUGAUGUUGUUCUCUCUGUGAUGCCUGUUUGACUGCAUUUUGUUCAAUUAGCUCAGAAUUCAGAUAUGGCAAUCUUGAUUUUCAAAUGUUUCACUUGUAUUCUUGACUGCCAACAGGUUACGAGCUAGAUCUUCGUGAUAUUCUCUACUCUCUUCUUGUCCGAGGCUUUCUAUGGAGAUUUUUGAGGUAGUUAUUUGUCAUCUCAGUGGACCUUCUUACUUCUAUUUAUGAUAUUGUUCUACAUUAGAGAUAACAUCAUUUGACACUUGUGUUUUCUUUCAAAUUUAUUGUAAUACAUUAGAGGUUUUUGCACAUGACAACUAAGUUUUGGGGAUUUAG